GUGGCGAAAAGCGUCCCGGUUUUAUGUGGACAUUGUGCCAUUUUUUAUUUCAUAGAUUGUAUUAAUACACUUGUUUUAUUUUAUCAUUCUUCAUCCUGGUUCUACAUUCGUCAUUCCUCAUAUGGGAGUGCAGUCCCUAAUCUGCACAACCCUCAGAUACUGAGUCAAUUUUAGACUCCUUGCUUGACAAGAUAUACACCUGUAGUAAGGGUGGGUCGCCUACACGGACCCAGAAGCGAUCCAAACCAGAGCUGGGCCCACAGCUCUCUGUUUAUUUCGAUUUAUCUGAGACCUAAGUGAGAAUUUACCUCCUAUUUAAACCAAAAGGUGAUUAAUUGUUUAUCUACUACAAAAGCAAGACACAGAUUAAUACUAACUGUCUGCUCUAGUUUUGAGAAAGUAUAGACAGAGUCCUGCUAGCAGGGGUGAUAUAGGCCAAGGCGUGCAACCUCCCAAUCUAAACUUUUGUCCCAAAUUGUCCUUAAUAAAUUGCAAAUUUGUUCCUGGAUGCUGUAUCCUUAGGUGCCUGGGUAACAGCCUGGCAUGUCACAAUGCCAAAAUAAGUUGCAUGGACACCCAUGAGAUAAAGUGGCAUUAAAGUAUAUAAAAUCAGUCUUUUUUGCUGACAACAUUGCAAUUAGCACUAAGGAUAGACAAUAUACUCUUCCAGUGGCUAGCAUAGACCCUAAACAUUCAUUAAUAGGGCAAGUAUGAAAAGUAUAGAAUACUUAAAAAGAGGAAAAUAUGACAAAAGAUUAACAAAUGUGUGUCUUUAUUGGGUAUAUGUUUCUACUUUGUGGUUUAUAGGCUUCUGCAUUUGGUUUCGUCUGAAUUGUGGUCCAAAUUAAUGCCUGUUGGCUGAUGAUUUCCAUAUCUCUGAAACACCAAACAAACAUAUAGCCAAUCAAAGGCUAAACAAGGCUGAACAUGUUCAUUUUAAUUGGUAUUUGGAUAUGAUUGAUAGAAAAAAAAUAAUUGAUGGUUUGACGGCAGCCACUAAAUGUUGAUUUUAUUCACAGAUUAAGUGAGAAGUGAUUAUAAUUGAUUCCAAUGCAUGUUGAUUUAAUGGCCACAAAAUAUGAGAUAAUUUCAGGAUAGGAUGCACCCAUAGUUUUUAACAAAUCUACCUUAUUCAUUUAUAAAGGAUAAUAAACCUCCUAAACACUGCUGAACAAAGUAUCACCAAGAUGAAGUCAUGACCAUCACAUAAGUCAAACACCUUUUCAAUUUCCACCCUAACAACUGUAUCUAAGCAUCAUUGAAGAGAUGAGUGCAGAGUGCACAAUGUGAAUCUUUUCUUGUGGAUAAAUAGUUUAAUAUCGAACUACAAACAGUUCAUGGCUUGUAAUAAGAUACCAUUCAAAGAAUGAUUGGAGCUGUUCUAAAGACAGAGACUGCUCCUUUAUCUUUUAUUUUUCUUACUGUUUUUACCACAGCAUUUUGUAAGGUGCUCAAAUUAUGUUGUCCACUCUCCAUGUCUGUCUCUCUCUUUAUUCAAUCCAUAACUGUUGGAAUCACAGUACAAACAAAUACAGUUUCAGUCCUCAAGAGGAGGUUUAUUUGAACAUGAGAUUAAAGUGAACAGAAUAACCAGAACAGCUAAGUUAUAGCCAGUAUUUUACAUUAUACAUGAUCUUACAUUAUACAUUAUUAGAUAAAGCCAAUAGCUGUCAAAAGAGUGAACUCAAUUUAGUGUAUUAGGGGCUCAGUUAAAUAAACAGAGAAUGCAAAAGUCAAUGAUAGAAAAAAAAAACCUAAGAAUGUUUACUAUAUGUUACAUAUUCUGAUAUAUUCAUGAUAAACUAUUCAAUCAAGCAACUCUCUUUGUUAGAUCAAUUGUGUAUCUUUAUAAUGCAUUAAAAAAAGGCAUCAAUGGACUGAGAGAGGAUAUACUGGAUCCUGAUUAAUUACUAAUUCAUUCUUUGGUUAAAAACGUAUCUAUAAAAUUCCCUCUCAGAGGCAAAAACAUAGCUAGGGUCCAUUUGCAAUAAACCAUUAAUUAUUUUUCAUCCUUCUUAUUUCUCUUCUAUCUGAUGCCUGUAUCUGCUUAACUGUUUUAUUCACAGUAAUGCUACUGUACUGUUAACAACUUUUUGAUUUAAUAUGUUGUCACCUUUCUCAAUAUACUGCUUUAUUAACAGUUUAUUUAAUCUGCC